rnacentral:rRNA from 1 species
AACGAACGCUGGCGGCAGGCUUCAUACAUGCAAGUCGAGCGGACGACCCCUUUCGGGGGGAAGUUAGCGGCGAACGGGUGAGUAACAGGUGGAUAAUCUGCCUCCUGGCGGGGGAUAACGGCUGGAAACGGCCGCUAAUACCGCAUGUGGUCUCCGGUCUUAUGACCGGUCAAGAAAGGCGCUUCACGGCGCCACCAGGAGAUGAGUCCGCCCCCCAUUAGCUAGUUGGCGGGAUAACAGCCCACCAAGGCUUCGAUGGGUAGCCGAGCUGAGAGGUUGAUCGGCCACACUGGAACUGAGACACGGUCCAGACACCUACGGGAGGCAG